rnacentral:rRNA from 1 species
GACGAACGCUGGCGGCGUGCUUAACACAUGCAAGUCGAACGGAAAGGCCCUGCUUUUGUGGGGUGCUCGAGUGGCGAACGGGUGAGUAACACGUGAGUAACCUGCCCUUGACUUUGGGAUAACUUCAGGAAACUGGGGCUAAUACCGGAUAGGAGCUCCUGCUGCAUGGUGGGGGUUGGAAAGUUUCGGCGGUUGGGGAUGGACUCGCGGCUUAUCAGCUUGUUGGUGGGGUAGUGGCUUACCAAGGCUUUGACGGGUAGCCGGCCUGAGAGGGUGACCGGCCACAUAGGGACUGAGAUACGGCCCAGACUGAUACGGGAGGCAGCAGUGGGGAAUAUUGCACAAAGGGCGGAAGCCUGAUGCAGCAACGCAGCGUGCGGGAUGACGGCCUUCGGGUUGUAAACCGCUUUCGCCUGUGACGAAGCGUGAGUGACGGUAAUGGGUAAAGAAGCACCGGCUAACUACGU